rnacentral:rRNA from 1 species
GUCGAGAAUCUUUCACAAUGGGGGCAACCCUGAUGGAGCGACGCCGCGUGGAGGAUAAGGUCUUCGGAUUGUAAACUCCUGUCAUGCGUGAACAAGGUUGCUUGGUUAAUACCUGGGCAAAUUGAUGGUAACGCAAGAGGAAGAGACGGCUAACUCUGUGCCAGCAGCCGCGGUAAUACAGAGGUCUCAAGCGUUGUUCGGAAUCACUGGGCGUAAAGGGUGCGUAGGUGGCGUGGUAAGUCAGAUGUGAAAGCCCGGGGCUCAACCUCGGAACUGCAUCCGAUACUGCCAUGCUGGAGUACUGGAGAGGUGACUAGAAUUCUCGGUGUAGCAGUGAAAUGCGUAGAUAUCGAGAGGAAUACCAAAGGCGUAGGCAGGUCACUGGACAGUUACUGACACUGAGGCACGAAGGCCAGGGGAGCGAACGGGAUUAGAAACCCCGGUAGUCC